GUGUGGGUAGAUUAUGUUAGUUAAAUCAUUAGGCUGUUAACCUUAUGAAGGCUGUUUAGCCCCCAAACG
rnacentral:tRNA from 1 species